rnacentral:rRNA from 1 species
UACGUAGGUGGCAAGCGUUGUCCGGAUUUACUGGGCGUAAAGGGCGUGCAGGCGGUUUCUUAAGUCUGAUGUGAAAGCCCUGGGCUCAACCCAGGAAGUGCAUUGGAUACUGGGAAACUUGAAUACGGGAGAGGGUAGUGGAAUUCCUAGUGUAGGAGUGAAAUCCGUAGAUAUUAGGAGGAACACCGGUGGCGAAGGCGGCUACCUGGACCGAUAUUGACGCUGAGACGCGAAAGCGUGGGGAGCAAACAGG